GACGAACGCUGGCGGCGUGCUUAACACAUGCAAGUCGAACGGAAAGGCCCUGCUUUUGUGGGGUGCUCGAGUGGCGAACGGGUGAGUAACACGUGAGUAACCUGCCCUUGACUUUGGGAUAACUUCAGGAAACUGGGGCUAAUACCGGAUAGGAGCUCCUGCUGCAUGGUGGGGGUUGGAAAGUUUCGGCGGUUGGGGAUGGACUCGCGGCUUAUCAGCUUGUUGGUGGGGUAGUGGCUUACCAAGGCUUUGACGGGUAGCCGGCCUGGGAGGGUGACCGGCCAAAUUGGGACUGAGAUACGGCCCAGACUCCUACGGGAGGCAGCAGUGGGGAAUAUUGCACAAUGGGCGGAAGCCUGAUGCAGCAAAGCCGCGUGCGGGAUGACGGCCUUCGGGUUGUAAACCGCUUUCGCCUGUGACGAAGCGUGAGUGACGGUAAUGGGUAAAGAAGCACCGGCUAACUACGUG
rnacentral:rRNA from 1 species